GUUACUUCGGUACAUCGGUGACUAGGUGGUGCAUGGUUGUCGUCAGCUCGUGUCGUGAGAUGCUGGGUUAAGUCCCGCAACGAGCGCAACCCCUAUUGUUAGUUGCCAUCAUUCAGUUGGGCACUCUAGCGAGACUGCCGGUAAUAAACCGGAGGAAGGUGGGGAUGACGUCAAAUCAUCAUGCCCCUUAUGACCUGGGCUGCACACGUGCUACAAUGGUUGGUACAACGAGUUGCGAGUCGGUGACGGCGAGCUAAUCUCUUAAAGCCAAUCUCAGUUCGGAUUGUAGGCUGCAACUCGCCUACAUGAAGUCGGAAUCGCUAGUAAUCGCGGAUCAGCACGCCGCGGUGAAUACGUUCCCGGGCCUU
rnacentral:rRNA from 1 species